CAGUCUGCGUUACUGCGGCCUGGGGCCGGGGAGUGGGCUGAGCUUGGCUGCAGUUGUCAGCCAGAGCGCCAUCUGCGAGCUGCACCUCGAUGGCAAUUACUUGCAAUGUUCCGGGGCACUGGCUCUGCUCAGACCCAUAGCCGAGCAUGCAGAGAUGGAGGGAAAAGGCCAGUCAGCCACAGCCUCACUAGACACCAGAAGUUCCCUUCAGCUGCCCCCAGCUAGACAGGGAAGAAGUUCAACUUUGGACCACAUUACAAAAUCAUCUGAAGCUAUAACAGUGAAAACCACUUCAGGGAAGAAAAAGAGAAG